UAAGUUUCAGGGAAAGUGCCAACUAACACUGAUGGAGGAACUUUCCUCACCUGGAAUCCCCUCUACCAGUGAAAUCAUUGGUUCAGUCCAUAGUCCUAGCUCUCUAAGUAGACAGUGAACCAGAAGUAGCAUUAUAAGCAAAGGAAAAGCUUCAGCUUCUUCAGUCUAAAAGGCUCCAAGCCAGCUUGCUUUCUUUCCUCAGUGCUCUCCCCAUUUCAAAAAUAUAACCUCUAGGGGGGGAGUGGGUACACUUAAGUAGCCUAGCUGAAGGGCAUCAACUGCUCAUGUGCAGUCAUCAUCAUGAUGCUGCCAUAGCAACCCAGCACCAUCAGUGGUAGAACUCACUCAUGAGCUUCCCCUGGUGGAUAGAUAAGAAACAAAUCAUCCCAACCUGAAAGAAAAGAGGAUUUAAAGAAACCAGUGGAGGUAUAUCAUGAACUCACUUUCAAGGUUGUGAGCAUUCAUUUCCGGAUCUCAAAGAACCAGCCAUGGAUAGCUCCAGGAUGAGGCCAGAAGCUCUCCCAAGCACAGAGGCUCCUGGAGCAAAGGCCUGUAUGCAUGCCCAAGGAAGGCCUUCUCAAAACUCAGGACCAGAGAAGGGUUCUGAUUCUGUUUUCAAUAGUCUACAUGCAGCAAUCAGGAAAAGAAAAAGAACGCUCCCAACAGAUCAAAGUCAGAACAUCUUAAAAUGGAAAUGAACAUUUAAAAGAGGCCUUUCUCAAGGGAAGCCUUGGCAGUAAAUCAGAGCUUUUGAGAGGCAACUGGGGCCUGUGCUGAUUUUUGAAUAACUCAUCGUUUAAUAAAUGUUCUUUUUUUGUGGC